CCAGUUUCCUGGGAAGUGAUCAGAAAGACAAGGCAGGUGAAGAACACUGGGGAAAGGCCACUGAGUUUAAGGAGUGCCAUGAGAGAGAAAAAGUUUUGGCACUGGGGGCCCAUUUCUCCAAAUCUGGGUGGGAAUCCUGUUUCAAUGAAUCCUUUGAAGCAGAGGCAUCACUGGUCUCCAAAGUGGUAAACAAGAAAGCCUGAGUUCCAGGCAAAAUUCUUAUGUAAGGAGCCCUGCAUGUUGAAGAGAGGCAACCAGGGAUGCUGCCCAGCAGCUGCAGAUGACGUCACAGUAGGUCCUUUCUAUGGAAAAGUCUCCCAUUAUUGCAUGGCGCACAUUUCCUCAGUUACUAGCUCUGGCUUCCUUGUCUGCUUCUUUCACAGCUCCUUACUUGUCUUAUCAAUGCUCUCCUCCCAACAUCUUUCAGAAUCUUAAGUCCUGAGUAAAUAAAUAUUUAGGCUCAAUAAGAAGCUCCAACCCAAAGAAGGCUUCCAAACUGAGAUGACUUACUUGACAACUUUGAUUCGGAACCGCAGGUCUCCUGGCUCUCCAUCCACGUGAGGCUCACCUAGUCAGAAGAGAUUACCACACACUGUAUAAGGCUUCCUAAAAGCACUGUCUGGAAUUGGAAAAAAACUGGAAACAACCUACAUGCCUAUUGAUCCAAUGUGGUGGCAGUGAAAUUCUAUUCAGCAGAAUUAUAGCUGUAAACAACAACAUGGGUGAAUCCUGACAAUAUUAACAUGACUUCGAGAUCUACAAUAAUAUCACUUCCUCUUGGAAUAUUUCUGUCUUGCUGACGAGGGGUUCCUCCGAACAUGAAACCAAAAUCUCCAAAGAAGCUAUUGGAUGAAGAGGCAGCUCUGGGUAUAGGAGCAGGAAUUUCUCUCUCUUACAAGAAUCACCUUGCUCACUAAGUGGUUUGCAGAUCUGAAGACAGCGAGGAGACAAAAUGAACUGGUUUCCAAUAUAUAUCACCCCCAACAUAGUCGGGAUUGAUUCAACUGAUAUGGUUGGCUAGGUGGACAUCCUUAAAUCCAUUUGUGGAAGAGUGCUGUCUGGCACAUACAGUUCAUAACCUCCCGAGUCUGAACUGCAAAGAGUGAAAAGGUACACUGCUCUAUGAAGGAUGCUCGAGCUCAAUUUGACAACUUGAGAAAGGACUUCCUUUUUUUUUUUUUUUGAGAAAAGACUUUCUAAAGUUUUAAUGGUUUUAGAAAACUAUAUGCUCAGUCAUAAGUAUAUGCUUUCUCACUGGGACCAUUUCAUAUCUAGAAUAAAGAAUGUAAAACAAAAUAAACUUCAGUGUUAGUCAAAAUUUGCCUUCCA